rnacentral:rRNA from 1 species
UACGUAGGGUCCGAGCGUUGUCCGGAAUUAUUGGGCGUAAAGGGCUCGUAGGCGGUUUGUCGCGUCGGGAGUGAAAACACCGGGCUUAACUCGGUGCUUGCUUUCGAUACGGGCAGACUGGAGGUAUGCAGGGGAGAACGGAAUUCCUGGUGUAGCGGUGAAAUGCGCAGAUAUCAGGAGGAACACCGGUGGCGAAGGCGGUUCUCUGGGCAUUACCUGACGCUGAGGAGCGAAAGCAUGGGGAGCGAACAGG